GCCGGCCUGAGAGGGCGACCGGCCACAUUGGGACUGAGAUACGGCCCAGACUCCUACGGGAGGCAGCAGUGGGGAAUAUUGCACAAUGGGCGCAAGCCUGAUGCAGCGACGCCGCGUGCGGGAUGACGGCCUUCGGGUUGUAAACCGCUUUUGACUGGGAGCAAGCCCUUCGGGGUGAGUGUACCUUUCGAAUAAGCACCGGCUAACUACGUGCCAGCAGCCGCGGUAAUACGUAGGGUGCAAGCGUUAUCCGGAAUUAUUGGGCGUAAAGGGCUCGUAGGCGGUUCGUCGCGUCCGGUGUGAAAGUCCAUCGCUUAACGGUGGAUCCGCGCCGGGUACGGGCGGGCUUGAGUGCGGUAGGGGAGACUGGAAUUCCCGGUGUAACGGUGGAAUGUGUAGAUAUCGGGAAGAACACCAAUGGCGAAGGCAGGUCUCUGGGCCGUCACUGACGCUGAGGAGCGAAAGCGUGGGGAGCGAACAGGAUUAGAUACCCUGGUAGUCCACGCCGUAAACGAUGGAU
rnacentral:rRNA from 1 species